CACGAACCGUACGAACGUUAUUCGGAAUUACUGGGCUUAAAGGGUUUGUAGGCGGCCUUGUAAGUCAGGGGUGAAAUCCCUCGGCUCAACCGAGGAAUGGCGCUUGAUACUGCAAGGCUUGAGGGAGACAGGGGUAAGCGGAACUGAUGGUGGAGCGGUGAAAUGCGUUGAUAUCAUCAGGAACACCGGUGGCGAAGGCGGCCUUCUGGACAGUGACUGACGCUGAGACGCGAAAGCGUGGGGAGCAAACAGG
rnacentral:rRNA from 1 species